CGCACGGGUGAGUAACACGUAUCCAACCUGCCGUCUACUCUUGGACAGCCUUCUGAAAGGAAGAUUAAUACAAGAUGGCAUCAUGAGUCCGCAUGUUCGCAUGAUUAAAGGUAUUCCGGUAGACGAUGGGGAUGCGUUCCAUUAGAUAGUAGGCGGGGUAACGGCCCACCUAGUCUUCGAUGGAUAGGGGUUCUGAGAGGAAGGUCCCCCACAUUGGAACUGAGACACGGUCCAA
rnacentral:rRNA from 1 species